UGAUCCCGUGCGGGAGAGCGUCCUGGCAGCCGGUCAGGACCCCUGAAGGAGCAAGCCCUCCCCGCGAACCUCUCAAGGCAAAGGACCGUGCGGGCCAG
rfam:Microbispora sp. ATCC PTA-5024 genomic scaffold scaffold00003, whole genome shotgun sequence.